rnacentral:rRNA from 1 species
GACGAACGCUGGCGGCGUGCCUAACACAUGCAAGUCGAACGGAGUUACCCUUCGGGGUAGCUUAGUGGCGAACGGGUGAGUAACGCGUGAGCAACCUGCCCUUGUGUGGGGGACAACAGUUGGAAACGGCUGCUAAUACCGCAUAACACACACCAAUCGCAUGUUUGGUGUGUCAAAGAUUUAUUGCGCAAGGAUGGGCUCGCGUUGGAUUAGAUAGUUGGUGAGGUAACGGCUCACCAAGUCGACGAUCCAUAGCCGGACUGAGAGGUUGAACGGCCACAUUGGGACUGAGACACGGCCCAGACUCCUACGGGAGGCAGCAGUGGGGAAUAUUGCACAAUGGGGGAAACCCUGAUGCAGCGACGCCGCGUGAAGGAAGAAGGCCUUCGGGUUGUAAACUUCUUUUACCAGGGACGAAGAACGUGACGGUACCUGGAGAAGAAGCAACGGCUAACUACGUGCCAGCAGCCGCGGU